rnacentral:rRNA from 1 species
UUCGCAAUGCCCGAAAGGGUGACGAAGCGACGCCGCGUGGGUGAAGAAGGCCUUCGGGUUGUAAAGCCCUGUCAGGAGUUAUGAAAUGUAAGUGCGCUAAUAUCGUGCUUAUUUGACAAAGGCUCCAAAGGAAGCCACGGCUAACUCUGUGCCAGCAGCCGCGGUAAUACAGAGGUGGCGAGCGUUGUUCGGAAUUAUUGGGCGUAAAGAGCACGUAGGUGGGUUUGCAAGUCAGAUGUGAAAGCCUUCUGUUCAACGGGAGAAUUGCAUCUGAAACUGCCAAUCUUGAGUAUAGGAGGGGAGAAUGGAACUUCUGGUGGAGCGGUGAAAUGCGUAGAUAUCAGAAGGAACGCCGGCGGCGAAAGCGAUUCUCUGGCCUAUUACUGACACUCAGUGUGCGAAAGCUAGGGGAGCAAACGGGAUUAGAUACCCCGGUAGUCCUAGCCGUAAACGAUGGGCACUAAGUAGA